UACGGGGGGAGCAAGCGUUGUUCGGAUUACUGGGCGUAAAGGGCGCGUAGGCGGAUCGUGACAAGUCACUUGUGAAAUCUCCGGGCUUAACUCGGAACGGUCAAUUGAUACUGCUGUGCUAGUAGUGCAGAAAGGGCAAUCGGAAUUCUUGGUGUAGCGGUGAAAUGCGUAGAUAUCAAGAGGAACACCUGAGGCGAAGGCGGGUUGCUAGGCUGACACUGACGCUGAGGCGCGAAAGCUAGGGUAGCAAACGGG
rnacentral:rRNA from 1 species